ensembl:misc_RNA
UAAGUAACCCCAGAAUAUAAAGUUCUCCAUUUCUCCACAGGGCAGGUACAGCACAAGCACUGGCAGUGCAGACUCCUAUCAUUCUGCACCCUGCCCUGUGCCUCUCGCCUGAACGGCUGGAGGGGUCCCCUCAAGAGUGAAAGGGGAAUUCAUGCUGCAGGACUUCUCUAUUGGGAUU